CACCGGCAAGCUCUCGGGAGAGGCCUCAGUGGGCUUAAACAAAAAGGCCUUGCUGAUCUCCAUGUGCUUUUCAAGGAUUCCACAGGGUGUAAGCACGCACUGUGUGCCAGGCCCUGUGCUGGGUAGGCCCCUGCUGCCCUCCUGAGUUGGGCACGGUGGCUUAAGAUGGUGGCUGUGCUCCAGCCAGAAUGCCUGAGCCUUGUGACCUUGCACAAGGUCUUUAGCCUCUUCUUCUGUGUGAAAUGGAAAGUGAGCAGCGCCUCAUCCCUUUGGGUCCUGCCGACCUACUAUGUGCUGGGCCCCUAUGUAAGAGAGGACCCCAGGGCCCACCCUCCCAGCGCCUGUCCCCACGCUGCUCUCACCUGACCACACGUGAUUGGCGCCGGCACGGAGCCUAAAACAGCAAGUCCAGCUCAGACAUCGCCAGCGCCGGGGUCCUGUGAGCCAGGGAAGUGGCCAGGGCGAGACUCCAGGGAUGAGUGGGGACUGGGGUGAGCGGGGAGUUCAAGCCCUGUCUGACGGGGGAGCGUCUGCAGCCCUGAGGGAAUUGGCCCAGUGCCCAGAGGAGCCGUGCAGCUAGGCUUAUGGGAGAUUUUAUGCAAAAAAAAGUCUUGAUUUUUAAAUGUUAGCAAUGAAAUUUUUACAACGUUAAAAACAUUCUGGGAGCCAAAGGAAGCCGUUUGUGGACAGGACUCAGCCCGCAGAGUCAGGGCACUGACGUAACAGUCUGCCCUUGUUGCAGGCGCACGCACGGCAGGAGCCACCAAGCGCGGCCAAGCACCUACUGUGCGCCCCUCCUGCCGCUCCAGGCCACAGGAAGAGGCGGCAGCGGCAAGGGGCCGGGGCUGAGGCCGCCCGAGUGUCUCCCGUGCAGCGGUGUUUCGGGCUGGCUCCUCCUGGCUCGGUCUGCAGGCUAAUUGCUAUGUACAGCCUCCAUUAAAUAGUCAACAAUUUGAACUUGGAAUUUAAAAAAUUAUAAUAAAAGCAGGGGGAACAACUGCUCCAAACUCAUCACUUUGUAAUUUACUGCAGUCUACACACUUGAGGUAUUCACAUCUGUUGUAGCCAGCGUCCUCUGCUGCGGAAAUGGUGCAUCGGCCCUGUACAGCUGCAUUCACGGGAGGAACGUGGUGCCGGAGGCCGCUGAGGCAGGACUGUCUCCACCACAGUGCCUGGUGCCUGGGAUAAUCAGUCUCCCUCGCCAAGAGGGGUGAAACGUUUAGCGGAGAAUUGGAUGAAAGCAAACACACCGAUAAACGGACUGUGUGAGUACAGUGGAGCAACGAUGGAAGGCAGAGCACCGGGGAGGGAAAGCCGACUGUCACCGUCUGGAUAGUGCUAGGAUGGAACCCAGGGCCUCUUGCGUGCUAAGCACACAUCCUACCACUGAGCUACAUAGCAGCCAGGAAGAAGGUCUUUUGGAGGAGUCCAGUGACAGGCAAGAAGGUCAGGCAAGCAGAGGGCAGAUCACAGAUGGCUGCUUCCGCCAGUUGGAGGGGGUCAACUGCACCCUCAGGGCAGUAGGCAAGGAGACUGAGUCUCUAAGAGCUGACCUGGCUUGGCAGAGGUAAAAUUGUUAAAAGGCACACAGCUGGGGUUGGAACCCGGAUCGGGCCUUGAAAGCUGCUGUUGUCUUCAUUGCAUCCUGCCUGCCUACAGACUGAAGCUGGAGCCAGAAUUUGGAGUGACAGUGGUCUGUGUGGACUCGUGUCCCUCCCGGAGCCAGCCGGCUCAGGCUAUAGCCUCAGCCUAGGGUGCAGACCGGACACGGCGACCAGCAAGGGCCCUGGAGCAGUGCGGAGGAAACGGCCUCUGUCAUGCGGACUCCGGGCUGAGCUUGCUCUUUCUGGUUCCUGACCUUGUGGACUGUGAGGACCCCGGGAGCCUUCGGAAAGGUCACGUGGAUCCCCUCGUCUUUCUGCUCUCAAGGCCUGACUUUCCUUGGUGUCUGCUGAAUCCUACUAGUGUCUGUCUUGAGCGCCUACAGCGUGCCAGGCACCCGACGAGCACUGCCGCAUUUAACCCUGAACAAUCCCAUGAGGCCGUUGCUAGGGCAGAUGAGGAAACCGCGGAGGACAGGGCCAUCUCUUGCCCAGAGGCACACAGCUAGAGCGACAGGCUCAGAGCCAGACAUCAGCCACCAUGGGCCACCUCUGCCCCCGCUGCCGGUGGCGACCUGGCUCAGACUCCUCCGAGGGCUUCUCUCCUGCCGCCCGCUGCGACCCUGGGCAAAGCACAGAGGGUUCCAUUUUCACAGAAGUCCCCAGUGUGGCGGCUUCUUUUUGGGACCUGCUGACUGGGCUCCUAAUGUGCUCAGAGGCCCUUUCCAGGUCCCUCCUCCCGCUUCCAAACCCAAGGAGCUGUUCAAGUGUUCGUCUUCCUCCCGCCGCGGGUGCAUACUGCCAGAAAAGGCGAGAAGGAAGUGAGUGGUGGGCACUGGUGGCCGGGCAGAGGGGAGGCCUUAAGGUCCCAAACUCUAAAGGCCAAAGGACGGUGGAGCUGCCCAGUCAGACUGACACCCUUAACAGCGCUGGCCUGGCCCACAAACAGUAAAAUCAAAGCAGGCCCCGGCUGUUUAUUGGUUUUCCCCUCCUUUUUUGACAAAAAAAGAGAUCAAAGGUGAAAUCAAGCCCUCCGCUCUGCACACCUCCUCCCUUCUUCUUUUCCUUUCUUUUUGGAAGCCUGAGCACUGAAAUGCUUCAGUUGCAGGGGGAGGGUCCCACAGCGGCCAAACGAGGCACACAGAGGCUUGCAGGCGGCCAGGUGGGAGGCCGUAGAGAGAGGCGGGGACUGGGGUGGGCCGGUGAGCCCAGAAUUGCCCCACUGCUUUGCAAAAGUAAGGGCCCAGUGUGGCCAGGCUUUGGGAACAAGCCAGAAUUCCAGAUGUUUUAUGUGAAAUCUCGGGUGAUAUAUAUACAUGCCCGGAGAUGGGAAUCUAUUAUUACUUUUGCUGAUGGUGUGCUAUGCAGUCAUCUUGGAUUAAAUAUUAUGUUUUCCCAUGGGUACUACCUUUGUCCUAAUUCUUCCUACUGGUCCGAUAUUUCAUGCUUUUUUUUUGUGAACUUGAAGAUUAUUUUAUCCAAUUAAAAACAUUCUGUGAGCCCAUUACUUGAAGUCCAGUUAAGUUUAUCUUUGUUGGCAGAACUGACAUUUGAAGGAUGAGAAAUCCAUUCUGGUAGGCUGAAACAGGAAGAUCUCAAGUUUGAGCCCAACCUGGACAACACUGGAA